rnacentral:rRNA from 1 species
UACGGGGGGGGCAAGCGUUGUUCGGAAUUACUGGGCGUAAAGGGUUUGUAGGUGGCCCGCUAAGUCACAUGUGAAAUCCCUCGGCUUAACCGGGGAACUGCGUCUGAUACUGGAUGGCUUGAGUUCGGGAGAGGUGAGUGGAACUGCGAGUGUAGAGGUGAAAUUCGUAGAUAUUCGCAAGAACACCAGUGGCGAAGGCGGCUCACUGGCCCGGUACUGACGCUGAGGUGCGAAAGCGUGGGGAGCAAACAGG